AGGUUCCCCCCAGGGCAACAUGCCAGCCCCGUAGCACUGCCCACCCCACCCACUGUGGUCUGUUGUACCCCACUGCUGGGGUGCUGGUUCCAAUGAGACAGGGCACACCAAACUCCAUCUGUGCUACAACUCAGUUGCUUAUUAAAAUGAAGAUGGAGUUUGCAAGCUGAAAAGUGGAUAUGAGCUACCCUGGAGGAAUUUUUUCUUGGCUGUUACUGAGGCGGAGACACGGGUGAUGAUUGGCUUUCUGGGGAGAGAGGAAGUCCUGUGAUUGGCCAGAUCUCUGGAGCUCGCCGACGCGGUGUGAGGACGCUCCCACGGAGGCCGGAAUUGGCUGUGAAAGGACCCAGGCAGCCAUCUGG
rnacentral:sRNA from 1 species